GUGUAGCAGAGCGCCCAGCUGGACGAAUCUCCCAGCCAGUUGGGGAGCCCCUCUGAGGGUCAUUCCUGCGGAUGUGGCCGUCGGGAGGACCAGCCCGUUUGCAGACCAAGCUUUUGCUUCCUCUCAUCCCUCCUGAGGAAGACCCUGGGAAAGGAAUGCUCUUCCUGCGGGCCCUUCCUCAGACACCAGGCAAACGGGUGAAGGUGCAGAGGUCGGCGGUGAGGAGGGGCCCCUGCGGUCUGCCAGGAGUGUCCAGAGCAAGCCCACGGCCCACACAGACACUGGGAUUCUGCCUGUAGCUUCAGGCCCUCACCUCCUGACACUCUAGGGGCGCCAGGACCCCAGGCUAAAAGCCCAGCUCCGAGGUCGAAUACUAGCACCCAGCACUGGAUACUCAGUGUCAGAUGAGUGAACAAGCAAAUGGCUGAUGUCUGGUUUCAAUGUUUGCCUACGAGGAGAUGUACUCCGCUCCCAGCUCUUAGCCUCACCAUGCAGUGGAAGGGAAGGAGGCUUCUGAACUGGCAGCUCUACAUUCUUCCCCUCUCUGUGCAACUUGUUUAGAUCACAGAACUGGAAGGGACCCCAAAAAUCCCAUUCUCCCACCCCUCCGAUUAGAGAGGAAGAAACAGAGGCCCAGACUCAACAGACUUGCCAAAACCCAUGGACCUGGUUGGGGGCCCACAUCUAGCACUUUCCCCAGCCUCACAGCCUGCCUUGUUUAUUUGUUCAGCAGUUUUUGUUUCGCCAUGGCACAGCUUGUUCCGACUCUGGAACAUUUAUGAGAUGAGCCAAUUUUUAAAAAUCAUAGAAAAUAAAUGGUUUGCUCUUGGAGCUGAAGGGCGGGGCAGCCAGGGUGGGAGACAGGUUCCAGGCCAGUUCUGGGGCAGAAUUUUGGCUUAUCCUUUGCUGUGUUUUUUUAUUCUCCUGCCUUGGGAACCAAAAGGAUUUCAGUGGGAUUUCCUGCCUCGAUUUCUCCAGUACUAUGAUAUGGAAAGACUAGAACAUUCAACCAUACACUUUCUGAUUCUCACCUCCACCAUCAUUAGUUCCAUUCCAAACUCUGGCUCCUACCCAUUGAGUUCAAGCUACAGCCUGAUUCAACUGAUCAACCUGGGGAUGGUGGUGUCAGGACUAGCACCUGGACCAUUCUGCCUCCUCUGCCUGCAACAUCCUCUCUAUCUGCUUGUGAACUCUUCUCCUUCAAAACCCAGCGGUUACGUCACCACUUCUAAAACCUUGAACUGAUUCCCCACGUAGUCGGCCAGCUACUUUUUAAAUUUAAAAAAGCCCAACCAGAAUAAACAGGAUAGCUAAAA
rnacentral:lncRNA from 1 species